GUGGGCUCCUCCUCCGUGACGUCGCCGUCUUCGCUGUAGCAAAGCUCGGCCUCUGGAAUUCUGAGAACUAAUUUGCUAUUCGGUGACAUAAGAGGGGGAGUGCGCUUCGCUUUCCCGGGGUCUGGGGCUAAUUCUUCCUCUUCUACCCAUAAACUCGGCUCCUCGAGCUAAAUACACAAAAGGGAGCGAGAGAUUUGAGCCGUUGGAACAAGUAUGUUAAGAGGCAGGUUUAGAGAGGCGAGUGAGAGAGAAAACAAUAAAUGCCACAGCUCCUUCCAGCUAGAAUAUUAGGCACCACGAGAAAAAUAUUUGCCAAGCAGUUUUCGGCUGCUUAACACAGCACCAUCGGUGCUUAAUUGUUGGCAUUAAGGUGUCUGAAGGGUCAGCUUCAUGGGAAGGAUGCCUGCUACAGAGAUGAAGACCCUCCUCCCAAGACUGACGCCAAUAGCUGUGUAACUGUGGAUACAGCUGCCCUGUGGAUGAUCGGUUGGACUAGGCGGCUACUCCUUCAUCCGGCCAGCAAAUCAGCACAAACCGAGGACUCCACAGCCUUACCAGAUCCGGAG
rnacentral:lncRNA from 1 species